rnacentral:rRNA from 1 species
AGAGUUUGAUCCUGGCUCAGGAUGAACGCUAGCGGCAGGCCUAACACAUGCAAGUCGAGGGGCAUCGGGAUUGAAGCUUGCUUCAAUUGCCGGCGACCGGCGCACGGGUGCGUAACGCGUAUGUAACCUACCUAUAACAGGGGCAUAACACUGAGAAAUUGGUACUAAUUCCCCAUAAUAUUCGGAGAGGCAUCUCUCCGGGUUGAAAACUCCGGUGGUUAUAGAUGGACAUGCGUUGUAUUAGCUAGUUGGUGAGGUAACGGCUCACCAAGGCAACGAUACAUAGGGGGACUGAGAGGUUAACCCCCCACAUUGGUACUGAGACACGGACCAAACUCCUACGGGAGGCAGCAGUGAGGAAUAUUGGUCAAUGGACGCAAGUCUGAACCAGCCAUGCCGCGUGCAGGAAGACGGCUCUAUGAGUUGUAAACUGCUUUUGUACUAGGGUAAACGCUCUUACGUGUAGGAGCCUGAAAGUAUAGUACGAAUAAGGAUCGGCUAACUCCGUGCCAGCAGCCGCGGUAAUACGGAGGAUCCAAGCGUUAUCCGGAUUUAUUGGGUUUAAAGGGUGCGUAGGCGGUUUGAUAAGUUAGAGGUGAAAUACCGGGGCUCAACUCCGGAACUGCCUCUAAUACUGUUGAACUAGAGAGUAGUUGCGGUAGGCGGAAUGUAUGGUGUAGCGGUGAAAUGCUUAGAGAUCAUACAGAACACCGAUUGCGAAGGCAGCUUACCAAACUAUAUCUGACGUUGAGGCACGAAAGCGUGGGGAGCAAACAGGAUUAGAUACCCUGGUAGUCCACGCAGUAAACGAUGAUAACUCGUUGUCGGCGAUACACAGUCGGUGACUAAGCGAAAGCGAUAAGUUAUCCACCUGGGGAGUACGUUCGCAAGAAUGAAACUCAAAGGAAUUGACGGGGGCCCGCACAAGCGGAGGAACAUGUG